AUUCCCCUAGUAACGGCGAGUGAACCGGGAAGAGCUCAAAUUUGAAAUCUGGCGUGCUCAGUGCGUCCGAGUUGUAAUCUAUAGAGUCGUUUUCCGUGCCGGACUGUGUCCAAGUCCCUUGGAACAGGGUAUCAAAGAGGGUGAUAAUCCCGUACUUGACACAAUGACCGGUGCUCUGUGAUACGUCUUCUACGAGUCGAGUUGUUUGGGAAUGCAGCUCAAAAUGGGUGGUGAGUUCCAUCUAAAGCUAAAUAUUGGCGAGAGACCGAUAGCGAACAAGUACCGUGAGGGAAAGAUGAAAAGCACUUUGGAAAGAGAGUUAAACAGUACGUGAAAUUGUUAAAAGGGAAACGAUUGAAGUCAGUCGUGACUGAGAGGCUCAGCCGGUUCUGCCGGUGUAUUCCCCUCAGUCGGGUCAACAUCAGUUUUGUUCGGUGGAUAAGGGCAGUUGGAAGGUGGCACCCUCGGGUGUGUUAUAGCCAGCUGUCGCAUACAUCGGAUGAGACUGAGGAAUGCAGCUCGCCUUUAUGGCCGGGGUUCGCCCACGUUCGAGCUUAGGAUGUUGACAUAAUGGCUUUAAACGACCCGUCUUGAAACACGGGACC
rnacentral:rRNA from 1 species